AGGGAACUUUCGGCAAUGGGGGCAACCCGGACCGAGCAAUGCCGCGUGAACGACGAAGGUCUUCGGAUCGUAAAGUUCUGUGAUUGGGGAAGAACAGCAUGAUCAGGAAAUGGGUCAUGUUUGACGGUACCCGAUUAGAAAGCCCCGGCUAACUAUGUGCCAGCAGCCGCGGUAAAACAUCGGGGGCGAGCGUUAUCCGGAAUUAUUGGGCGUAAAGAGUACGUAGGCGGCCUGUUAAGUCUGAUGUGAAAUCCCGCGGCUUAACCGCGGAGGGUCAUUGGAAACUGGCAGGCUUGAGUACGGCAGGGGUAAGUGGAAUUCCAAGUGGAGCGGUGAAAUGCGUAGAUAUUUGGAGGAACACCAGUGGCGAAGGCGGCUUACUGGGCCGGAACUGACGCUGAGGUACGAAAGCGUGGGGAGCAAAC
rnacentral:rRNA from 1 species